UACGGAGGGUGCUAGCGUUGUUCGGAAUUACUGGGCGUAAAGCGCGCGUAGGCGGACUGUUAAGUCGGGGGUGAAAUCCCGGGGCGCAACCCCGGAACUGCCUUCGAUACUGGCGGUCUAGAGGUCUGGAGAGGUGAGUGGAAUUUCGAGUGUAGAGGUGAAAUUCGUAGAUAUUCGGAGGGACACCAGUGGCGAAGGCGGCUCACUGGCCAUAUUUUGGCGCUGAGGUGCGAAAGCGUGGGGAGCAAACAGG
rnacentral:rRNA from 1 species